GUGCCAGCAGCCGCGGUAAUACGAAGGGGGCAAGCGUUGUCCGGAAUUACUGGGCGUAAAGGGCGUGUAGGCGGAAUGACAAGUUAGAUGUGAAAGCCCCGGGCUCAACCUGGGAAUUGCAUUUAAGACUGCCAAUCUAGAGUACGGAAGAGGGUCGUGGAAUUCCCAGUGUAGAGGUGAAAUUCGUAGAUAUUGGGAAGAACACCAGCGGCGAAGGCGGCGACCUGGUCCCAGUACUGACGCUGAGGCGCGAAAGCGUGGGAGCAAACAGGAUUAGAUACCCUGGUAGUCCACGCCGUAAACGAUGUGUGCUAGCCGUUGGGCCGUUGGGUC
rnacentral:rRNA from 1 species